UGAUUUUUGUGCCCGGCUCAGUGUCUUC
rnacentral:piRNA from 1 species